rnacentral:sRNA from 1 species
CGACUAAGGUUCGGCUCGAGCGUCAGCGAGAGAGCGUUGCCGCAGGCAACGACCCGAAGGGCGAAGCGCGCAGCGCUGAGUAAUCCUUCCCCCACCACCA